GUGAGGAAUUUUCCGCAAUGGGCGAAAGCCUGACGGAGCAAUGCCGCGUGAAGGAUGAAGGCCUAUGGGUUGUAAACUUCUUUUCUCAGAAAAGAAUUAUGACGGUAUCUGAGGAAUAAGCAUCGGCUAACUCUGUGCCAGCAGCCGCGGUAAGACAGAGGAUGCAAGCGUUAUCCGGAAUGAUUGGGCGUAAAGCGUCUGUAGGUUGUUUUAAAAGUAUUCUGUCAAAGAUUAGGGCUUAACCCUAGAUAGGCAGAAUAAACUUUUAAGCUAGAGUUUGGUAGAGGCAGAGGGAAUUCCCGGUGGAGCGGUGAAAUGCGUAGAUAUCGGGAGGAACACCAAAGGCGAAGGCACUCUGCUGGGCCAAUACUAACACUGAGAGACGAAAGCGAGGGGAGCAAAUGGGAUUAGAUACCCCUGUAGUCC
rnacentral:rRNA from 1 species